GACGAACGCUGGCGGCGUGCUUAACACAUGCAAGUCGAACGGAAAGGCCCUGCUUUUGUGGGGUGCUCGAGUGGCGAACGGGUGAGUAACACGUGAGUAACAUGUCCUUGACUUUGGGAUAACUUCAGGAAACUGGGGAUAUUACCGGAUAGGAGCUCCUGCUGCAUGGUGGGGGAUGGAAAGUUUCGGCGGUUGGGGAUGGACUCGCGGCUUAUCAGCUUGUUGGGGAGGUAGUGGCUUACCAAGGCUUUGACGGGUAGCCGGCCUGAGAGGGUGACCGGCCACAUUGGGACUGAGAUACGGCCCAGACUCCUACGUGAGGCAGCAGUGGGGAAUAUUGCACAAUGGGCGGAAGCCUGAUGCAGCAACGCCGCGUUCGGGAUGACGGCCUUCGGGUUGUAAACCGCCUUCGCCUGUGACGAAGCGUGAGUGACGGUAAUGGGUAAAGAAGCACCGGCUAACUACGUG
rnacentral:rRNA from 1 species